GACGAACGCUGGCGGCGUGCCUAAUACAUGCAAGUUGAGCGCUGAAGGUUGGUACUUGUACCAACUGGAUUAGCAGCGAACGGGUGAGUAACGCGUGGGGAAUCUGCCUUUGAGCGGGGGACAACAUUUGGAAACGAAUGCUAAUACCGCAUAAAAACUUUAAACACAAGUUUUAAGUUUGAAAGAUGCAAUUGCAUCACUCAAAGAUGAUCCCGCGUUGUAUUAGCUAGUUUGUGAGGUAAAGGCUCACCAAGGCGAUGAUACAUAGCCGACCUGAGAGGGUGAGAGGCCAACUUGGGAAUGAGAAACGGCCCAAACUCCUAGGGGAGGCAGCAGUAGGGAAUCUUCGGCAAUGGAAGAAAGUCUGACCAAGCAACGCCGCGUGAGUGAAGAAGGUUUUCGGAUCGUAAAACUCUGUUGGUAGAGAAGAACGUUGGUGAGAGUGGAAAGCUCAUCAAGUGACGGUAACUACACAGAAAGGGACGGCUAACUACGUG
rnacentral:rRNA from 1 species